AUCAUAUUAUUUUAUUUUAUAUUUUUUAAUAAUUUAUAAUUAAUUAAUCAUGUACUAAUCUAUUACUACGUUUUCCGUGCCAUAUAUAAGUUAACUAAUGUGCCUUGGCCGUAGUCCUAUAUUGUUAUUCCGUGUAAUGGUUAGGAGACUGCUUCCAUUGCACAAUCAGACCUCUUCUGAAGAACUUUCUAGUUUCUUUUUUUUUUUUCUGAUAAAAAUUGAUCAUAAAUUAUUUGCUUCAUUGCUUGAUUGUG
rnacentral:lncRNA from 1 species